rnacentral:rRNA from 1 species
UACAGAGGGUGCAAGCGUUAAUCGGAAUUACUGGGCGUAAAGCGUGCGCAGGCGGCUUUGCAAGACAGAUGUGAAAUCCCCGGGCUCAACCUGGGAACUGCAUUUGUGACUGCAAGGCUAGAGUACGGCAGAGGGGGAUGGAAUUCCGCGUGUAGCAGUGAAAUGCGUAGAUAUGCGGAGGAACACCAAUGGCGAAGGCAAUCCCCUGGGCCUGUACUGACGCUCAUGCACGAAAGCGUGGGGAGCAAACAGG